rnacentral:rRNA from 1 species
GUAGGUCCCGAGCGUUGUCCGGAUUUAUUGGGCGUAAAGCGAGCGCAGGCUGUUUGAUAAGUCUGAAGUUAAAGGCUGUGGCUCAACCAUAGUUCGCUUUGGAAACUGUCAAACUUGAGUGCAGAAGGGGAGAGUGGAAUUCCAUGUGUAGCGGUGAAAUGCGUAGAUAUAUGGAGGAACACCUGUGGCGAAAGCGGCUCUCUGGUCUGUAACUGACGCUGAGGCUCGAAAGCGUGGGGAGCGAACAGGAUUAGAUACCCUGGUAGUCCACGCCGUAAACGAUGAGUGCUAGGUGUUGGAUCCUUUCCGGGAUUCAGUGCCGAAGCUAACGCAUUAAGCACUCCGCCUGGGGAGUACGACCGCAAGGUUG